GCGUCUCCUGAAAAGGAAGGAAUCCAUUAGCAACGAAAGAUAGAGGAGAGCUCUUUUGAAAACUUUUUGAUCAGUGGUAGGCAUUGCCCCUCAGCCAGCGAAUAUGCAUCUUCAAGCAUCAUCUGUGUGGGCAAUAUGCAAACCAUCUCCUCUCUCUCUCUCUCUCCUUGAAGACAGGAUUGCAGUCAAGUAUAACCUCUUCCAUUUCGACAUUUCUAACUGAGCUACAUCAUGUAAAACCACAAGGAAAUGUUGUUUUUGAAAGACAAAGGAGAGCACUGUGCUGUAAAAUGUUGCUGCGCCAUAACUGGGAGAGGCUCGUGCGCUCUAUGCGAGAGAUUCGUGUUUCUUUUCUCGGUGAAACAACAGGAAGUCUUUUCAACGACCGACACUGGGGUGAUUUUUUUUUUUUUUUACUCGAAUGGGUUUAUGUUUAACAAAAAGUAAAAUAGAAGAAAAACAGUCGACACUGCGUAAAAGGAAGGAAACGUUAAUAAAAGUGGCGUGUUCAGGCUGUGUGGUUGCUGGGCUGACUCGCCCUGGCAACAGCAUGUAAUCCGAGAGCUCUGGACGGUUGCCAUGAGAGCUCGAGCGUGCCGUUGCUCCCCCACACUGCCAUAUAAGGUCAUCAGGACUCCUCUGCAGCAGUGAAAAUAACACCGGGGGUGCUUCGGGCUUCCGCGCGUGCACUCUGGCUCGAGACAAAGACCGGCGGAUCAUGAGGGUUUUAAGUGCUACAGAUCAGAAAUUACAAACUAACAAGCUGCGAUUCUAUCGUUUGUUCGGUAAUGUAGUUAAAAAUAGAAAGUGGGGUUAUGGUGUUUUCAGCUGUGCCACAAUGGUGCCCAUUACGUACUCUAUUUUUAGUAUGUGAGCGUGUGUAUUUGCUUAUGAGAACACACAACCGUAGUCGGUGUGUCAAGAGGCCUGUUUUUCUUGUUAUCCACUAAUGCUCAUGGCUCUCAAGUGCGCGCGAUCCUCCAUUUGCAGGUCACGAGGCUGCAGACAGCAUUCCUUUCUGUCCAACCCUGCUUUCUUUCUAGAUUCUAGACUCCCACCCCCAGUGCAAUGGAGGCAGAAUUGUGAAGAAGGUUUUUAUUUAUGUGUGUAACAAAGGUGAACAUUUUGCGUUGAAAUCCGCCAAUGAGGUUAUUUAUAGGCCUUUUGUUUAAAAAAAAAAAAAAAAAAAAACCCUGGUGGGUUGCGCCAUUCAGCUUUGCGCGCCGCUGACAGACUGGAAUAUUCCACACAGAGGAUUGGCCUCUCUUCUGCAGGACAGCUGUCUCUCUGCACGGCGAAAAAAACUAUUUUUUUUAAACAAUUGUUCUUUGUUUAUUAAUUGAUGAAAAUGGGCUGUACACGUAUGGAUACUUUACACAACUACAGGACAAUUUAAUAUCCUUUUAUAUGCGUCAUUCAUAUGUUAGGCUGCCAGUUUCACCUUUGUAAGUCAAACAAGCACUCUUUUUUUUUUUUUUCAAUUAUUAUACAGGAAUUUUUCAUAGAUUGGACUACAACAUACCGUAUUGUAACAUAUGGGGCACAUGAGAACGGUUUUAUGGCUAUUUCUGUGGAGUCAGAAUAAUCAGGCUGACUGCCCUUUCUUUCUGUCUCUUUGUAUGUUCAGCCUUUUAUUCUGACGGAUUGUUCACUGAAUCAAAUCAGGUAUCCUUCAUGUUUUGUGUUGUUUUUACUAUUUUUUUUUAAUCUAUGGGUUAUUCCAGGAUUUUUCAUUGGUGGUACUGUAUUUAUUUUAUUUAAAACAUUGACUUCUUUUUUCUAGCUUUUAACUAUUUGCAUGUCUAGUGUAUUAUUAGUGUAACAUUCCACAGUAUGGUUUGUGAUUUAGUCUCUUUUACUUGGCAAUAUUAUCACCUGUGGUUUUCUGAGAUGUUUGAAUAAAUAGAAUAUACCCUAAUAAUUAUGUGUUAUGGUUGUUGAUACUGAAGCAGGUUGCUGUUUUUUUUGUGAUGGACUUGCAUAGCACAAAAUAUUAUUUUAGGCCCAUCUUUAAAACAGUAUUUAAUCUGUCAUGACAUAUUAGACUCAUACCACACUAGAUUACACAAUGAACACAAUUCAUGCUGCAGGGUGACUUAGUUGUAAGAGCAAUUUGCAAAACAAUCAAAUAUAUAGGUGAAAUUCCAUUUUAGUUAUUGCAGUAAAUGUGUGUUUUCUGGAAAAAAUACUUUAAAGAUAUGUUUUCUGAAAAUAGGCAAAGUUAAGGGCAGUGUCAGCUCAUCCUCUUAAAGGGACAGCUUCACCACUCAUACCCACUAACUGCAUAUUUUUCCACCCGUGACCGAUAAAAUUUUACCUUUUUUAAAUUUGACUCUGUAGCUUACCUCAGUUUGAGUUUGACUGCCUUUUAUGAGAGAUAAUUAUUCCAGACCAGACUCUGAAUCUAGAGAAAUCUCGGUUACCAAUACCAAUAACGUUUCUGUGUAUUCUGAUUAUGUAAGAUAUUUCCUUAUGAGCUGCAUCUCACUGUAACUGAUUUCUGUAUUAUGAGCAAUCAUCGACUUUGCUGAAACAGAUUCUCAAACCUAAUGUUAAGAUAUCAUUCUAUUGCAUAUAAUGUUCAUGAACAUUCCCAAUCACCCAGUUUAUUUGAUAUCCAGUAGUUAAAAGCAGCUUGACUGAAUGUAUAAGACUAGAGUGCAUUUCCAGUUGCUUCUGAUCAUUACUAGAUGCACCACAUCUGGCUCAAUCAUCAUUUAAACAUGUAUAAGCUAUUCCCCGUGCCCUUAAGCAGCCAAAUGCCUCACACACCCACAGCCUUAAAACAGCACGUACAUGUUUUCACCUAACCGUUAUAUCCAAACUAAUCACUUUAUUGUGCUAAUUUAAUCAGUUUGAUUCUGGAUAAAGAUGUCCGCACAUUGCACCCUGGGACAAGAGAGAAUAGUUUAUCCUGACGCCCCAAUCUGUGAUGUCACUGCUGUGUACAGCCAUACAGAGCGAACAGAGAAGUAUGACCGACAUAUUGCUUAUAAGUACCCCCGAGGAUUCAAAAUGAUCACAUUAAAAGUAAAAUACAGGAAUAAACAGGGUUAAAUAUUGUGCUUUUUACCAAUGGCAUGAUUAGAUUCCGCAUAUAGACUGGUUGCUGAAGGUUUAUUUAAAGGCUCAUACUUCAUAUAAAUCAUCCCAUUAAACUUCAAUGAAUUAUAAUUAAUCUAAUUGAUUCAAACAGCCAUGUCUGGCAAUGAGGAACUGGAAUUGGGGAACCCAAAAUAAAAGACAAAAAGAUCAAAUUAAAUGUAUUUGAAGAAUUUGAGAGAAGUGAUGCAGGUUUUUUCCUUUUAUGAACUCUUGACUUGUAUAUAGGCGUUUUAUUCUAAUUCUAUUGUUGGUCAUUGGUGUUUUCUAUACAUACACACCUAUAUUAUUUCACAUACAUUAUAUUAUUUACCUUUACGUGUACAGCUUUGCUGCCCUCGUUCCUAUAUCUGUUAUUCUGUGUAAGUACAUGCAAAAGAAGCAAAUUCCCUGUAUGUGUACAUGUACAUGGCCAAUAAAGAUGAUUCUAAUGUUA